rnacentral:rRNA from 1 species
UACGAAGGGGGCUAGCGUUGCUCGGAAUUACUGGGCGUAAAGCGCACGUAGGCGGCUUUCUAAGUCGGGGGUGAAAUCCUGGAGCUCAACUCCAGAACUGCCUUCGAUACUGGAGAGCUUGAGUCCGGGAGAGGUGAGUGGAACUGCGAGUGUAGAGGUGAAAUUCGUAGAUAUUCGCAAGAACACCAGUGGCGAAGGCGGCUCACUGGCUCAUUACUGACGCUCAGGCGCGACAGCGUGGGGAUCAAACAGG